GACGAACGCUGGCGGCGUGCUUAACACAUGCAAGUCGAACGCUGAAGCUCAGCUUGCUGGGUGGAUGAGUGGCGAACGGGUGAGUAACACGUGAGUAACCUGCCCUCUUCUUUGGGAUAACGCCCGGAAACGGGUGCUAAUACUGGAUAUUCACUGAUUCUCGCAUGGGGGUUGGUGGAAAGGUUUUUUCUGGUGGGGGAUGGGCUCGCGGCCUAUCAGCUUGUUGGUGGGGUGAUGGCCUACCAAGGCUUUGACGGGUAGCCGGCCUGAGAGGGUGACCGGUCACAUUGGGACUGAGAUACGGCCCAGACUCCUACGGGAGGCAGCAGUGGGGAAUAUUGCACAAUGGGCGAAAGCCUGAUGCAGCGACGCUGCGUGAGGGAUGGAGGCCUUCGGGUUGUAAACCUCUUUCGCUCAUGGUCAAGCCGCAGCUUUGGGUUGUGGUGAGGGUAGUGGGUAAAGAAGCGCCGGCUAACUACGUG
rnacentral:rRNA from 1 species